AGAAUCAACGCUGGCGGCGUGCCUAACACAUGCAAGUCGAACGAGAAAGUGGAGCAAUCCAUGAGUAAAGUGGCGCACGGGUGAGUAACACGUGACUAACCUACCCUUGAGUGGGGAAUAACCUAGGGAAACCUGGCUAAUACCGCAUAACACCUACGGGUCAAAGGAGCAAUUCGCUUAAGGAGGGGGUCGCGGCAGAUUAGCUAGUUGGCGGGUAAUGGCCCACCAAGGCAGUGAUCUGUA
rnacentral:rRNA from 1 species